rnacentral:rRNA from 1 species
UGGGGAAUUUUGGACAAUGGGGGCAACCCUGAUCCAGCGACGCCGCGUGAAGGACGAAGGUCUUCGGAUUGUAAACUUCUUUUGAAGGGGAUGAAUGUCUGCGUGAAAAACGCAGAGUGACAGUACCCUUUGAAUAAGCCACGGCUAACUACGUGCCAGCAGCCGCGGUAAUACGUAGGUGGCAAGCGUUACUCGGAAUCACUAGGCGUAAAGCGCAGGUAGGCGGUUCGAUAAGUCUUUUGUGAAAGCUCCUGGCUCAACUGGGAGAGGUCAAAGGAAACUGUCGGGCUAGAGUGUGGCAGAGGAAACUGGAAUUCCCGGUGUAGCGGUGAAAUGCGUAGAUAUCGGGAGGAAUACCUAUGGCGAAAGCAGGUUUCUGGGCCAUCACUGACGCUGAUCUGCGAAAGCUAGGGGAGCAAACAGGAUUAGAUACCCCCGUAGUCC